CCUACGGGAGGCAGCAGUGGGGAAUAUUGCGCAAUGGGGGCAACCCUGACGCAGCAACGCCGCGUGAUUGAAGAAGGCCUUCGGGUUGUAAAGAUCUUUAAUCGGGGACGAAUUUUGCCGGUCCCCGAAGAAUAAGCUCCGGCUAACUACGUGCCAGCAGCCGAGGUAAUACGUAGGGAGCAAGCGUUAUCCGGAUUUAUUGGGUUAAAAGGGUGCGCAGGCGGAAUGUCAAGUCAGCGGUAAAAUUUCGGGGCUCUACCCCGUCGUGCCGUUGAAACUGGCGUUCUUGAGUGAGCGAGAAGUAUGCGGAAUGCGUGGUGUAGCGGUGAAAUGCAUAGAUAUCACGCAGAACUCCGAUUGCGAAGGCAGCAUACCGGCGCUCAACUGACGCUCAUGCACGAAAGCGUGGGUAUCGAACAGGAUUAGAUACCCGAGUAGUC
rnacentral:rRNA from 1 species